UGCGUAGGCGGUUUGAUAAGUCACAUGUGAAAUCUUCGGGCUCAACCCGAAGUCUGCAUGCGAAACUGUCGGGCUUGAGUAUGGGAGAGGUGAGUGGAAUUUCCGGUGUAGCGGUGAAAUGCGUAGAUAUCGGAAGGAACACCUGUGGCGAAAGCGGCUCACUGGACCAUAACUGACGCUGAUGACGAAAGCUAAGGGGAGCGAAACA
rnacentral:rRNA from 1 species